rnacentral:pre_miRNA from 1 species
AUGUGACCUGUGGGCUUCCCUUUGUCAUCCUAUGCCUGGAGAUCACAGUGAGGCAGGGACAGCAAUGCUCAGCUGUCGUCUCU